rnacentral:rRNA from 1 species
UACGUAGGGUGCAAGCGUUGUCCGGAAUUAUUGGGCGUAAAGAGCUCGUAGGCGGUCUGUCGCGUCGGCUGUGAAAUCCGGAGCUCAACUCCGGUCUGCAGUCGAUACGGGCAAACUGGAGUACUGCAGGGGAGACUGGAAUUCCUGGUGUAGCGGUAGAAAUGCGCAGAUAGUCGGAGGAACACCUGAGGCGAAGGCGGGCUACUGGGCCGAUACUGACGCUGAUGCGCGAAAGCCAGGGAGCAACGGG